CCUACGGGUGGCAGCAGUGAGGAAUAUUGGUCAAUGGGCGAGAGCCUGAACCAGCCAAGUCGCGUGAGGGAGUACUGCCCUAUGGGUUGUAAACCUCUUUUGUCGGGGAGCAAAAGCCGGACGUGUCCGGCUGUGAGAGUACCCGAAGAAAAAGCAUCGGCUAACUCCGUGCCAGCAGCCGCGGUAAUACGGAGGAUGCGAGCGUUAUCCGGAUUUAUUGGGUUUAAAGGGUGCGCAGGCGGAUUUUUAAGUCAGCGGUAAAAUCGUGGGGCUCAACCCCAUCCAGCCGUUGAAACUGGGGAUCUAGAGUGUGCGAGAGGUAUGCGGAAGGCGUGGUGUAGCGGUGAAAUGCAUAGAUAUCACGCAGAACCCCGAUUGCGAAGGCAGCAUACCGGUGCACAACUGACGCUCAGGCACGAAAGCGUGGGUAUCGAACAGGAUUAGAUACCCUAGUAGUC
rnacentral:rRNA from 1 species